CCCUUAGAUGUCCUGGGCUGCACGCGCGCUACACUGAUGUGUCCAGUAAGCACCUAACCUCUUCCGAAAGGAACGGGUAACCUUUGCAAAGCACAUCGUGAUGGGGAUAGAUUAUUGCAAUUAUUAGUCUUGAACGAUGAAUUCCUAGUAAGCACAAGUCAUCAGCUUGUGUUGAUUACGUCCCUGCCCUUUGUACACACCGCCCGUCGCUCCUACCGAUUGAAUGUUCCGGUGAGCUCUUCGGACUGCGCGGUCUGCAGUUUCUGCGUUCCGUGCGGAAAGUUGCGCAAACCUUAACAUUUAGAGGAAGGAGAAGUCGUAACA
rnacentral:rRNA from 1 species